CCUGGCUCAGAUUGAACGCUGGCGGCAUGCCUUACACAUGCAAGUCGAACGGUAACGCGGGGCAACCUGGCGACGAGUGGCGAACGGGUGAGUAAUGUAUCGGAACGUGCCCAGUUGUGGGGGAUAACUGCUCGAAAGAGCAGCUAAUACCGCAUACGACCUGAGGGUGAAAGCGGGGGAUCGCAAGACCUCGCGCAAUUGGAGCGGCCGAUAUCAGAUUA
rnacentral:rRNA from 1 species